rnacentral:rRNA from 1 species
UGCAGUCGUGCGGAGUGAUCGCGGUAGCUUGCUCCCUGAUGUUAGCGGCGGACGGGUGAGUAACACGUGGGUAACCUGCCUGUAAGACUGGGAUAACUCCGGGAAACCGGGGCUAAUACCGGAUGGUUGUUUGAACCGCAUGGUUCAAACAUAAAAGGUGGCUUCGGCUACCACUUACAGAUGGACCCGCGGCGCAUUAGCUAGUUGGUGAGGUAACGGCUCACCAAGGCAACGAUGCGUAGCCGACCUGAGAGGGUGAUCGGCCACACUGGGACUGAGACACGGCCCAGACUCCUACGGGAGGCAGCAGUAGGGAAUCUUCCGCAAUGGACGAAAGUCUGACGGAGCAACGCCGCGUGAGUGAUGAAGGUUUUCGGAUCGUAAAGCUCUGUUGUUAGGGAAGAACAAGUACCGUUCGAAUAGGGCGGUACCUUGACGGUACCUAACCAGAAAGCCACGGCUAACUACGUGCCAGCAGCCGCGGUAAUACGUAGGUGGCAAGCGUUGUCCGGAAUUAUUGGGCGUAAAGGGCUCGCAGGCGGUUUCUUAAUUCUGAUGUGAAAGCCCCCGGCUCAACCGGGGAGGGUCAUUGGAAACUGGGGAACUUGAGUGCAGAAGAGGAGAGUGGAAUCCCACAUGAAUCGGUGAAAAUGCGUAGAGGUGUGAGGACCACCGGUGGCGAAAGGCGGUUCCCUGC